AGUGAACGCUGGCGGUAGGCCUAACACACGCGAGUCGAACGGCAGCACAGUAAGAGCUUGCUCUUACGGGUGGCGAGUGGCGGACGGGUGAGGAAUACAUCGGAAUCUACUUUUUCGUGGGGGAUAACGUAGGGAAACUUACGCUAAUACCGCAUACGACCUACGGGUGAAAGCAGGGGAUCUUCGGACCUUGCGCGAUUGAAUGAGCCGAUGUCGGAUUAGCUAGUUGGCGGGGUAAAGGCCCACCAAGGCGACGAUCCGUAGCUGGUCUGAGAGGAUGAUCAGCCACACUGGAACUGAGACACGGUCCAGACUCCUACGGGAGGCAGCAGUGGGGAAUAUUGGACAAUGGGCGCAAGCCUGAUCCAGCCAUACCGCGUGGGUGAAGAAGGCCUUCGGGUUGUAAAGCCCUUUUGUUGGGAAAGAAAAGCAGCAGGUUAAUACCCCGCUGUUCUGACGGUACCCAAAGAAUAAGCACCGGCUAACUUCGUG
rnacentral:rRNA from 1 species